UUCACACCUCGUUACCAUUGCAGUGAAUUCCAAAGAAAGCAUACCCAAAUGGGAACAAAGUUAUUUGAACGAAAAGUAUUCAGUGGCUAAACAAAUGUCCCCACCACCCCCCUUGCUGCCCUCUGCCUUUCCUUGAUGCUCCGCAGAACUGGUGCAUGGGAGGAGACCGCUGUGGCCUUGUGGAGAGUUUGAAGUGGAAACUUUUGGGGGAAUACUGAAAGUCACUAGCAAUCCAAAGGGAACGGUAAGUCCUUUUCUUCCCCUUCUCCUCCUGCUUUGUAGUUCACUUUUUAUAUAGUUUACUUUUUUUUCCCUUUUGCAGCAUUUCUGAUCAUGGUAUUCCGUGACAUUACCCCAUCACCUUCUUACUGUGAGCCAUCCCAUCCCUUCAAGGCAGAGGGCCAUGGUGGAGGUGUUGCCGCUCCUUUUCACAUGAGUCAAGGCAUAAGAAGAGCUCCUGUGAUUCCAUUUUCAGACAGACACAGUGAACUACAGAAGAAGCGUGAUUGCCUUUUGCCCUGGAAUCCAAAAUUCUUUCCAAAGAGGAUGAACUUGCCCCAGGAGGCAGCACGGAGCGGCUGGCAAUGUGGUGUCAUUUCCAUAAAGUCUUCUGCUGUUGGCAUCUCGGAAAGCCCCGUGACAAUGUGAUGGCAUCCUGCAGCUCAUUGUGUGUCUUCAGACUCCUGCGAAAUGGCUGAUUUCCUGGUCGGCUGGGGGCAGUUUUGCUUAACUGUUUCUCAAGAGCUGCACGCUAUCCUAGGGGCUUCUGGAGAGGAGUAAACAAAAUACAAAAUAAAAUUAAAGCAAGUGCUGCCA
rnacentral:lncRNA from 1 species